rnacentral:rRNA from 1 species
GAUGAACGCUGGCGGCGUGCCUAAUACAUGCAAGUCGAGCGAACAGAUAAGGAGCUUGCUCCUUUGACGUUAGCGGCGGACGGGUGAGUAACACGUGGGUAACCUACCUAUAAGACUGGGAUAACUUCGGGAAACCGGAGCUAAUACCGGAUAAUAUUUCGAACCGCAUGGUUCGAUAGUGAAAGAUGGUUUUGCUAUCACUUAUAGAUGGACCCGCGCCGUAUUAGCUAGUUGGUAAGGUAACAGCUUACCAAGGCGACGAUACGUAGCCGACCUGAGAGGGUGAUCGGCCACACUGGAACUGAGACACGGUCCAGACUCCUACGGGAGGCAGCAGUAGGGAAUCUUCCGCAAUGGGCGAAAGCCUGACGGAGCAACGCCGCGUGAGUGAUGAAGGUCUUCGGAUCGUAAAACUCUGUUAUUAGGGAAGAACAUACGUGUAAGUAACUGUGCACGUCUUGACGGUACCUAAUCAGAAAGCCACGGCUAACUACGUG